ACCUGUCAGUCAGCCUUCCUUCUGUGCACAAACUUAUCUCAUGCCCUCAUUGGUCAUGAGGGCAUGACCAGUGCGCGUUAGUGUAUGUUGGAGGAGGGGCUCUGUAAGGAAGUCUGAAGGAAGGGGCAGAUUUCUUUCGGCUGUUUACUUUCAAAUGAUAGCGCACUCGAGCUGGUUUCUCCAUUCUUACCCUACCAGUACCUUUUUAAGUUUGUUAGUUCUAAAGGAAAAUACUGUUUUGAGCUCUGGGAAUCUGCCUAUACCUAGAGAGAGCUGCCCUUGAGCAAGGCACCAGAACCCCACACUGCUGUGUAUAUGAUAGCUGCCUACUGCUCCUAAUACUAGGUUGGGUUAAAUGCAGAGUCUAUAUUUCACUGUCUGUGGUGCUGUGUACAGGUGUGACGGUUAGAAGUUGAUUUGAUUCGGAUCAUCCACUUUCCAUGCCACCACAGAGAAACAAAUGUGUAUACAAAAAAUACGAAGGGUUUAUAAAAGAAAAAUCAAUUGAGUUUUGAUUAAUUGGGAAAAAACGUCUACAGAUGAAUCCAGAAAGAUACAAAUAUUUGGUUCUUAGUUUAAAAUUAGUUCAACCACUACUCCCAUAGUAAAAAGAGUAAUGAUAAUGAUACAAUAAAUAAUAGUACAGGAGACGUUCUUCAGCUUCGAGUACUUUUCAUACUUUAAAUACAUUUCCAUGACUAUACUUUUACUACACUAACAUUUUCAAUGAAGGACCUUUAACAAUUGUUUUCAGUGAACUAUAAGUACUUUUACUUUAGGUAAAGGAUCUGAAUAUACCUUCUAUCUCUGCUGUUGGUUAGUAACAGGUUGCCUUCUUUGUCUUUGCUGUGUUUGUGAAACUGGUGUGUGAGAGACAGCAGGGUGUGUCACCAAACGCUCCUAGUUUUCCAGAAGUGGAAGAUACUUGGCUGAGAAACUUACUGGAGCUGAUUUUUACAUUCACUCCAUUUCAGUAUAACAUUUCCAUUUCUCAAUAUAAACAAUGAGGUUCUUUCUUCUUCUCUCUGCCACCUUUAGUUUGAGCGUAGCAGCAGGUAAGACUUGUCCAGAGAAAAACAUUUAAAAUGGAAAUGUUAUACAUUCUUAAACAAAAUCUUUAUUGAUUUGACAUAUUUUACACAUAUAAUAGAUACUGAUAAUGAUUAAAUGAGACCCUAACCCUCAAAUGAGUAAGUGAUUAAUGUGUAAAAUCUACAAUGUCAUCACUUUACACACUUGACCUGGAAAUGAAUGAUGUUUUCAAAUUCAUGUUUUCAUUAAGAAAUAUUGUAGCGUAAAGCUUAAGUAGGCAUAACCACAUGAUAAAAAAGGUAAAAAACCACGGCUGAAGGUAACAGAAAAAAUCUGACACAACAAACAAACAAAGCAAAUCAAGAUGUUUGUCGGGAAUCUGCCCCGGAAACAUCUUACUACAUUUAAUGAAGCUGAAGUGGAAACCUUAACUGUAUAAAUCUUGUCCAAAAUCCACAGACGUUGAAGACACAACAUUUAAACUUUGAUUCUAAUCCAGUCAAUCAGGAAAUGAUUUGCCAAAAUACCAUUAUGUGAAGUGAUUUAAGGCGAGAGAAGGACUCAGAUCCCUAACUUAAGGACAAGUAGAUAAUAUGGACUUAAAAUAUUCCAUUACAAAUAAAGAACCUGAAUUCAAAAUGUUGCUUAAGUAGAAGUAAAGACGUGUACUUAAAGUAUGCAGAUUGGCUCUUUUUGCAGUGCUUUAUUAUUAUAGAAUAUUAUAUUAUCCUGUUUUUGUCACAAAAAAAUACAUACAAGAGGUUUUUAUGGUUGUAGUUUGUCAAUGUGGAGGACAAUAAAGAGACUUUGUAAAAAUACUGGGUUUAUUUGUAGUAUAUGCUGUAUUCAAAUAUAAGCAUAUCAUCUUUUUUAUAUGUUAAAUGUAAACAGUGGUAAUUAAAUUAGUAAAAAGUAUGAUUUUUGCCCUUGAAAUGUUGUGGCGUAAAAGUAGCAUAAAACAGAAAUAUACAAAAGUAAAAUACUUUUCACGUCAAAAAGUGACUUUAUAAUGGUACUUAGUUACAUUUCACCACUAGUAAUGUUUUUUUUGUCUCCUCCUGAUAGCAGAAGAGAGGGCUGCGUGGCAGUAUGAAGGAAGCGGCCUGACUCUUUUGGAGAUUGAGAUGUUUGACAGGUCGCCCAAUUGGGUCGGACACCAGAAACGAUACUUUGCUUUGAUACUUCGUCAACACGCCGAUGAGCUGGAUGGAUGCUGAGGCAGCCUGACGUUACACUGUUAAGGCGUUGGUGUAACACGAGACUGGAUUCCAAAUCUAUUUCCAAAGAUGCUUUAAACCCCUUCUUUACGUCUCACUUUGCUUUCCUGGUUAUUAAAGAUAUUGAAAAUAUUUGCAUUAUUCUCAGAUUUGAAAAAUAAAAAUGUCUACCUUCUAUGUAAAAGCUACAGCCCUGAUAUCUUCAUCUCUUUCUUUAAAAUGCUUUCCUUUUUAUUUAUUGACUUAGUCUUUCCAUACAUGCACUUUGCUCAAGUUACAACAUAUAUUGUUAACAGGCAAUUUCUCUGAUCUGUGGGGAUGUGAACAUUGAGCUGAAGUGUCCCUUCCUCUCGGGCACUGGACCAGUUCAGAUGGUAAGAGUUUUGGAAAAAGAUCUCUAAUGAUUUGCUUUAUUUUUGAUGGAGGGUGCAGUAUCUCCUCACACAGUAACAUUUUUUAAAUAACCCAUC